GGGCGCAUAGCUCAGUUGGUUAGAGCGCUGGUCUUACAAACCAGAGGUCCUUGGUUCGACUCCAAGUGCGCCCACCA
rnacentral:tRNA from 1 species